ACUUUAGACAAUUUCUAAUUCUUGAUAUAUAUAGAAGAAAUUUUUCGAAAGGAUGUUUAACAUAUCAUAUUAUGUUAGUGAAUGAUAGUAAUAAUGACAUAGCAAAAUAAAUAAAUAACGAAUAACGAUAAUGCUGGUUUCCAAAUAGAUACUGACAUCAAAUCAUUUUAUCAAAUAGCCUCAAAUAGCCUCUUUUACACUUUCGUAAAAAUAUUAAUUGCCAUACGAAAACGAAAACUUUUAUUGUCACUUUCUCGAGAAUGCUUUCUCGAAAAUAGUAUUUCUGAUGACUUCAAUAUAAUAUUAAUAUUAAUAAAUAUAACAUGCUUAGAAAAUCUCAUUGGUGAUGUCGACUGUAUUACAUAGACGAGUUUCCAUUGUGAAACUUGCUUCAAAUUUCAAUAUUUUAUAUAUCAAAUAAUAAUAAAUGUCAUCAACGUU